AUUGAACGUUGGCGGCAGGCCUAACACAUGCAAGUCGAGCGGAGCGGCGGACGGGUGAGUAAUGCCUAGGAAUCCGCCUGGUAGCGGGGGCUAACGUCUGGAAACGGGUGCUAAUACCGUAUAAUACCUGAUGAGUCUAGGUCGCAUUAGCAAGUUGGUGGGGUAAAGGCCUACCAAGGCGACGAACCGAAACUGGUCUGAGAGGAUGAUCAGUCACACUGGAACUAAGACACGGUCCAGACUCCUACGUGAGGCAACAGUGGGGAAUAUUGGGCAAUGGGCGAAAGCCUGAUCCAGCCAUGCCGCGUGUGUGAAGAAGGUCUUCGGAUUGUAAAGCACUUUAAGUUGGGAGGCGUUACCAACAGAGUAAACACCGGCUAACUUCGUGCCAGCAGCCGCGGUAAUAC
rnacentral:rRNA from 1 species